rnacentral:lncRNA from 1 species
CUCACCACAGUAGCUUUCCUAAAUGAAUUCCAGUGUCACAUCUUCAGAGUCCUGCCACCCCAAGGCCUCUUCUCUUAUGACUUGCACCUCCAGCCUCUGCCAUAUUUCCAAUCAUGUUCAUGUUAAAAAAAACAAGACCCCAAGAGAGACUUCUGAUGAUUUCUACCUCAGCC